ACUCCGUGCUGCGUGUGUCAGGGACACGUCCGUUAUCACUUGAGAGCCGCAUGCGCGGAGGCAGGGCACUGUGUUCAAGUGACACUCGGUGCACUUGGUGACAGCCCCGGAGCACAGCAGCAGUGGGCACGCCCAGAGCGGGAGGCACUGCCUUCCGGCGAGCAUCGGCCAUCGGCCACCGCGGCGACAAGUGACCCCGUGGUUCUCACCGAGAGGGCGGCUCAGCUCGUCGCGCUGUCGCGUCACUGUCCUGUCUCGUCGUCACCCGGAGGAGGGUGGGUUCAGGACGAGAAGAUAACGGGGGGGGGGGGCAAAGGGAGAGGAAGGAGAGGGGAGGUGGGAAAGGGACAGUCCCAUCGCUCGCGCCGUGUGAGUGGUGGCUCCUGUCUCAUCACUGCGCGCUGUUUACCUGGUACUGUGUCUGGUUUAUGUCUGACUGCACAGCUACCGUGUGGCGCGGUACCCACGGAGCUCGGCACUGUUGGUGGCUUCAGGCAUGCACUGGGGGGUUGGAAUGUGCCCAAGGACAAGGGCUGGUGGCUGGAAGGAAAGGUUUAUCUAUUUAUUUAUUUAUUUACAGGCAGAGUGGACAGUGAGAGAGAGAGACAGAGAGAAAGGUCUUCCUUUGCCGUUGGUUCACCCUCCAAUGGCCACUGCAGCCGGUGCACCGCGCUGAUCCGAAGGCAGGAGCCAGGUGCUUCUCCUGGUCUCCCAUGGGGUGCAGAGCCCAAGCACUUGGGCCAUCCUCCACUGCACUCCCUGGCCACAGCAGAGAGCUGGCCUGGAAGAGGGGCAACCGGGACAGAAUCCGGCGCCCCAACCGGGACUAGAACCUGGCGUGCCGGCGCCGCUAGGCGGAGGAUUAGCCUAGUGAGCCGCAGUGCCGGCCAGGAAAGGUUUAUUUUUAAUCUGAGAGGGAGAGAGAGAGGGAGAGAGAGAGAGGGAGAGGGAGCUCUGCUGGUUCACUCCCCAGAUGGCCACAGUGGCCAGGACUGGGCCGGGCUGCAGCCAGGAGCCCCAUCCCGGUCUCCCGCGUGGUGUCGGGAACCCAGUAUCUGA
rnacentral:lncRNA from 1 species